CUGCGCGAGUGUGAGAGCGUCCCAGCCGUCCCUGACCCUAACCCCCAAAUCCCCAAUCCCUAACAUGCGCUCUCUAGUCUCUACUACUCAGUCACUCUCGCUCCCUCUUCUCCAAAUCCCCAAUCCCUAACUUGCGCACCCAAAUCUUCCCAAUCUCUCACUACUCAGUCGCUCUCGCUCCUCCGAAUCCCGGCGCCGAAGCCUUCCUCUUCGUGGAGACGCCACCCACUGACCCAGAAGGCAGCACAGCACUGACCCAGAAGAGAGAGCACAACACGACGCCGUCGCCCACUAACUCAACAGGGCAGCACAGCACCACGCCGUCGCCGUUGAGACGCCACCACCCAGCAGCGUUUCUGGGUUCUGGCCGAUCAUCAGUUCAAUCCAGCACCGCCCAGUCUCCCACUCAGCCUUCCUCCCAAGUCAAUAUGGAGACUGAGCCACCAAUUCAGGUUCUGAUUAAUACAACUUUGUGGCACUCACCCAAAAGUGAAGUAGUUUUUGUUACGACUUUAGGAGAUGGAGAACAAACAAGAUGGUGUAAGCAAUGGUGAUGGUGAUGUACUACAUGACAUUGAAAAUGAAGGUGUAUUGUUGGAUGGGAAGGGCGAAAUUCGGAGGAAUUGGUCGGAGUUUUUGGAAAGGAACAUGUCAUAUGCAGAGCCACUGCUUGUUAAAAGGACACACAACCUCCCAGAUUGCUAUAAUUGGUGCCAACCUCUGCCCUAUUGAAAGCCUUGAUUAUGAGUAAGCCAAAUUGGUUUGCGUUAAGAAGUUUAGCUAUUUUGUUGGAGAAGACACCAUAACUUUGCUAUCAGUUUAAUGACAAUUUAUUUUUAUUUUCAGUUGUAUUGAUUGUUGAACUAUUAAACUUCUUUAAUUGUCGUACUUGAAUUCUGUUGUCGUUAAAUUUCAUUAGAUCAAGACUUUGUUAGCUAUUGUGUAUUUCUGUUUGUCGAUUUCAAUGUUAUGACUUUGCAUAA